rnacentral:rRNA from 1 species
AGACGUGAUGUGGAGCGAAAUAAAAGUAGCGAAGUAUGUGAGCCAUGUGCCGAGAAAAGCCGCUAUUGUUUUAUAUGUGCCCGUACCGUAAACCGACACAGGUGGAUGAGGAGAGAAUCCUAAGGCCGACGGAAGAAGCAUUGUUAAGGAACUCGGCAAAAUGACCCCGUAACUUCGGGAGAAGGGGUGCCCACUUCAGGGUGGGCCGCAGAGAAUAGGCUCAAGCAACUGUUUAGCAAAAACACAGGUCUAUGCGAAACCGUAAGGUGAAGUAUAUGGGCUGACGCCUGCCCGGUGCUGGAAGGUUAAGAGGAGAGGUUAGUCGCAAGAUGAAGCUUUGAAUUUAAGCCCCAGUAAACGGCGGCCGUAACAAUAACGGUCCUAAGGUAGCGAAACUCCUUGUCGGGUAAGUUCCGACCCGCACGAAAGGCGUAAUGAUUUGAGCACUGUCUCGACAAUGCAUCCGGUGAAAUUGAAGUACCAGUGAAGAUGCUGGUUACCCGCGCCAGGACGGAAAGACCCCAUGGAGCUUUACUCCAGUUUGGUACUGGGAUUCGGUACUGCAUGUACAGGAUAGGUGGGAGACUGAGAAAUUGGAACGCCAGUUUCAAUGGAGUCACUGUUGGGAUACCACCCCUGCAGUAUUGGGUUUCUAACCAGCCGCUGUGAUCCAGCGGUGGGACAAUGCCAGGCGGGGAGUUUGACUGGGGCGGUCGCCUCCGAAAGGGUAUCGGAGGCGCUCAAAGGUUCCCUCAGAAUGGUCGGAAACCAUUUUAAGAGUGCAAAGGCAGAAGGGAGCUUGACUGCGACACCGACGGGUGGAGCAGGUACGAAAGUAGGACUUAGUGAUCCGGUGGCAUAAAGUGGGAUUGCCAUCGCUCAACGGAUAAAAGCUACCCUGGGAUAACAGGCUUAUCACUCCCAAGAGUUCACAUCGACGGAGUGGUUUGGCACCUCGAUGUCGGCUCAUCGCAUCCUGGGGCUGUAGCAGGUCCCAAGGGUUGGGCUGUUCGCCCAUUAAAGCGGUACGCGAGCUGGGUUCAGAACGUCGUGAGACAGUUCGGUCCCUAUCCGGCGCGGGCGGAGGAUAUUUGAGAGGAGCUGUCCUUAGUACGAGAGGACCGGGAUGGACGGACCACUGGUGUAUCUGCUGUCGACCAACGGCAUGGCAGAGUAGCCAAGUCCGGAAGGGAUAAACGCUGAAGGCAUCUAAGCGUGAAGCCCCCCUCAAGAUGAGAUAUCCCUCACAUAAGUGAGUAAGAUCCCUUGAAGAGUACGAGGUAGAUAGGGCAGAGGUGGAAGCAUGGUAACAUGUGGAGCUGACUGUUACUAAUCGAUCGAGGGCUUGACC